UGCGGCUUCAUCUGGGAGGAAAGUGAGUCUCAUUAUCCUCAGGCUCAGAAAAUCACUAAAGUUCAGCACUUGAAUGAGAGCCCCAAACCUCGUUCUCUUCCCAGGGCACUGGGUCCACGCUGGAGCAUCCCAGAGCUGAUCAAUCCCUCUGGAAGCAGGGACACCCCUGGCUCCAUAGGAUUCCAUUUUGCUGAACUACUGGUUCAGAAACACAAGAGCCUGACAUCUAUGGGAACACAGAGCCAGAAAACCCAGGCACAGACCAGGACAUCUCCGAGGUAUUUCCAGCAGGUAUCUGCUAGACGCGUUCUCUCUGCCAGCCCGCUGACUUGCUAGCUGUGGAGCAACUGCAGUACGUGCCCGUCCCUGUCACCAGGGGCUGGCCAUCAACAGAAGCUGCUCCUUCCAAGCCGGCCACGCGUCUACUACUUCAUCAUCCUCUCGGGGGUGCAUCCACGGCUCUCCCUACAAUGGGAGCUUCCUGAGAGGCACUUUCAUUUCUCUGUGCUUCCUCUGGGCUCACCAGCAAGUGCUAAACUGAAGGAAGAUAGAGUUAAAUUGUUUAGCAAUCAGAGUUUCUAUGACUGUCCAUCAUCACUGCAUCUCUUCUAUGACAUGAGACAUUGGUGCGAUGUGUCAUUAUGUUCAAAUGUGUGGGUCGGCCAGGGUGUAUCUGUAUGGACUGAAUGUGUCCCCAUAAAAUUUGUAUGUUGAAGCCCUAACCCCCAAUAUGAGGAUAUUUGGAGCUGGGGCCUUUGGGAGGUAAUUAAGUUAGAUGAGGUCAGAUGGACAUGGCCCCUGUGGUUGAGAUUAGCCCUAAUACCAAGAGAUAGCAGAGAGCUCCACCCUACUGUUGGCCACGUGCACACAUAGGGAGAAGGGGGCCGUCUAUAAGCAAGGAAGAGAGCCCUCAUCAGAAACCGAUCGCGCCAGCAUGCUGAUCUUGGAUCUGAGGCCUCCAGAAC
rnacentral:lncRNA from 1 species